AAUCAACGCUGGCGGCGCGCCUAACACAUGCAAGUCGAACGAGAAAGCAGGAGCAAUCUUGUGAGUAAAGUGGCGUACGGGUGAGUAACACGUGGAUCAUCUACCCUUUUGUGGGGGAUAACUCUGGGAAACCGGAGCUAAUACCGCAUAAGCUCGAGAGAGGAAAGCAGCAAUGCGCAGGAGGAGGAGUCCGCGGCCGAUUAGCUAGUUGGUAGGGUAAAAGCCUACCAAGGCAACGAUCGGUAGCCGGCCUGAGAGGGCACACGGCCACACUGGCACUGAAACACGGGCCAGACUCCUACGGAAGGCAGCAGUGGGGAAUCUUGCACAAUGGGGGCAACCCUGAUGCAGCGACGCCGCGUGAGCGAUGAAGCCC
rnacentral:rRNA from 1 species